rnacentral:rRNA from 1 species
UACAGAGGUCCCGAGCGUUGUUCGGAUUUAUUGGGCGUAAAGGGUGCGUAGGCGGCGGAGUAAGUUGGGUGUGAAAUCCCGAGGCUCAACCUCGGAAUUGCAUUCAAUACUGCUUCGCUCGAGUACUGGAGAGGAGGCUGGAAUUUACGGUGUAGCAGUGAAAUGCGUAGAGAUCGGCAGGAACACCAGUGGCGAAGGCGGCCACCUAGCCCGCACCUGACGCUGAGGCGCGACAGCGUGGGGAGCGAACUGG